AUGAACGCUGGCGGCGUGCCUAAUACAUGCAAGUCGAGCGAACGGACGAGAAGCUUGCUUCUCUGAUGUUAGCGGCGGACGGGUGAGUAACACGUGGAUAACCUACCUAUAAGACUGGGAUAACUUCGGGAAACCGGAGCUAAUACCGGAUAAUAUUUUGAACCGCAUGGUUCAAAAGUUAAAGACGGUCUUGCUGUCACUUAUAGAUGGAUCCGCGCUGCAUUAGCUAGUUGGUAAGGUAACGGCUUACCAAGGCAACGAUGCAUAGCCGACCUGAGAGGGUGAUCGGCCACACUGGAACUGAGACACGGUCCAGACUCCUACGGGAGGCAGCAGUAGGGAAUCUUCCGCAAUGGGCGAAAGCCUGACGGAGCAACGCCGCGUGAGUGAUGAAGGUCUUCGGAUCGUAAAACUCUGUUAUUAGGGAAGAACAUAUGUGUAAGUAACUGUGCACAUCUUGACGGUACCUAAUCAGAAAGCCACGGCUAACUACGUG
rnacentral:rRNA from 1 species